rnacentral:rRNA from 1 species
UUAACUUACACCCACACCGCCAGGGGAUUACGAGCAAUGCUUAAAACCCAAAGGAUUUGACGGUGUCCCACCCCACUAGAGGAGCCUGUUCUAUAAUCGAUGAUCCCCGCUUCACCUAACCAUUCCUCGCCCAUCAGUCUGUAUACCUCCGUCGAAAGCUUACCAUGUGAACGUCCGCAGUAGGCUCAAUGAUUCCCCAUCAAUACGUCAGGUCAAGGUGCAGCUUAAGGAGUGGUAAGCAAUGGGCUACAAUUUCUAAUUUAGAACAAACGAAAGACUAUGUGAAACCCUAGUCAUGAAGGUGGAUUUAGUAGUAAAAAGAAACUAGAGUGUUCUUUUUAACCCGGCUCUGGGACGCGUACACACCGCCCGUCACCCUCUUCGAUAGUACCACAUCUGUUAAUAACCCCAUAUCACGUUUUAGAAGAGGCAAGUCGUAACAUGGUAAGUGUACUGGAAAGUGCACUUGGCUCACUA